rnacentral:rRNA from 1 species
UGCCUACGGGGCGCAGCAGUGGGGGAUAUUGCACAAUGGGGGAAACCCUGAUGCAGCGACGCCGCGUGAGUGAAGAAGUAUUUCGGUAUGUAAAGCUCUAUCAGCAGGGAAGAAAAAAGACGGUACCUGACUAAGAAGCCCCGGCUAACUACGUGCCAGCAGCCGCGGUAAUACGUAGGGGGCAAGCGUUAUCCGGAUUUACUGGGUGUAAAGGGAGCGUAGACGGUUAAGUAAGUCUGGAGUGAAAGGCCGGGGCCCAACCCCGGGACUGCUCUGGAAACUAUUUAACUUGAGUGCAGGAGAGG